ensembl:Mt_tRNA
AUCUUUCUAAUAUUAACGGAGUAUACGUGACUUCCAAUCACCUAGUCUUGGUUCAAAUCCAAGGAAAGAUA